GACGAACGCUGGCGGCGUGCCUAAUACAUGCAAGUAGAACGCACAGUUUAUACCGUAGCUUGCUACACCAUACACUGUGAGUUGCGAACGGGUGAGUAACGCGUAGGUAACCUGCCUGGUAGCGGGGGAUAACUAUUGGAAACGAUAGCUAAUACCGCAUAAUAUUAAUUAUUGCAUGAUAAUUGAUUGAAAGAUGCAAUUGCAUCACUACCAGAUGGACCUGCGUUGUAUUAGCUAGUAGGUGAGGUAACGGCUCACCUAGGCGACGAUACAUAGCCGACCGGAGAGGGUGAUCGGCCACACUGGGACUGAGACACGGCCCAGACUCCUACGGGAGGCAGCAGUAGGGAAUCUUCGGCAAUGGACGAAAGUCUGACCGAGCAACGCCGCGUGAGUGAAGAAGGUUUUCGGAUCGUAAAGCUCUGUUGUAAGAGAAGAACGGGUGUGAGAGUGGAAAGUUCACACUGUGACGGUAUCUUACCAGAAAGGGACGGCUAACUACGUG
rnacentral:rRNA from 1 species